CGGGUCGUAGGGAAGCGGCAUCCCCCCUGGUUUGGGACCAGGCAAUCGCGGGUUCGAGUCCCGCCGACCCGACCG
rnacentral:tRNA from 1 species